UGGUCCUAACCUUAAUAUCAGUUAUUACUUAAUUUACACAUGCAAGUAUCCGCACCCCUGUGAAAACGCCCUUAAAUCCCUACAAGGGAUAAGGAGCUGGUAUCAGGCACUUAUAAAGCCCAAAACACCUAGCUUAGCCACACCCACAAGGGACUUCAGCAGUGAUUAACAUUGAUUAUAAGCGUCAGCUUGACUCAGUUAUAGUAAGUAGAGCCGGCUAAUCUGGUGCCAGCCGCCGCGGUUACACCACGUGGCUCAAAUUGAUUUCUAUCGGCGUAAAGCGUGAUUAAAGUGCUUCUUAUUUGGAAUUAAAACUGAACUAAGCUGUGACACGCUUGUUACUGAGAAACCCAUAAACGAAAGAUAUUCCAACUCUAUCAACUUGAAUUCACGACAGCUAAGAUACAAACUGGGAUUAGAUACCCCACUAUGCUUAGCCGUAAACCUUAAAUUACAUCAAAUCAUCGCCCGGGAACUACGAGCAAAGCUUAAAACCCAAAGGACUUGACGGUACCCCAUAUCCACCUAGAGGAGCCUGUCCUAUAAUCGAUAAUCCCCGCUUAACCUCACCCCUUUUAGCCUAUCAGCCUGUAUACCUCCGUCGUCAGCUUACCACGUGAGCGCAACUUAGUGAGCUUAAUGCUUAUUCACCAAAACGUCAGGUCAAGGUGCAGCAUAUAAAGGGGGGAAGAGAUGGGCUACACUUUCUACUCUAGAAUACACGAAUGACUAUAUAUGAAACCCUAGUCUGAAGGCGGAUUUAGAAGUAAAAUAAAACUAUAGUGUUUAUUUUAACCUGGCACUGGGGUGUGUACACACCGCCCGUCACCCUCUUCAAAGCCCCAUACAAGUUCUUAACCAAUUUUAGCUACAUAGAAGAGGCAAGUCGUAACAUGGUAAGUAUACCGGAAGGUGUGCUUGGAAA
rnacentral:ncRNA from 1 species